AUGGCCUGGCAACAUAUAUCCAUGGAUUUUAUUGAAGGUCUGCCUAGUUCUCAGGGAAAAGAUGUGAUCAUGGUAAUAGUGGACAGAUUUACCAAAUAUGCACAUUUCAUUCCCCUGUCCCAUCCUUAUUCAGUACUCAGUGUAGCUCAAGCUUUUGUGGAUAAUAUAAUUAAGCUACAUGGUCCUCCAAAGAUGAUAAUUUCUGACAGAGACAGAAUCUUUACUAGUCAACUAUGGAGGGACAUAUUUGCUGCACUGAAAGUUGAAUUGAGAUAUAGCACAGCCUAUCACCCACAAACUGAUGGUCAGACUGAGAGAGUAAACCAGUGCCUGGAGACUUACUUAAGAUGCAUGACUACUUCAGCACCUAAGAAAUGGUUUUCUUGGUUAUCUCUGGCUGAGUUCUGGUACAACUCAACAUAUCACACAGCAAUCAAGAUGUCUCCAUUCCAAGCUCUAUAUGUUUUCCCCCCACCACUCAUCUCAGAGCUGGCCAUUCCUGGUCCUGAUGAUCCAGAAGCACAAGACUUUCUGUCAACCAAAUAA
rnacentral:rRNA from 1 species